AUUGAACGCUGGCGGCAUGCUUUACACAUGCAAGUCGAACGGUAACAGGUUAAGCUGACGAGUGGCGAACGGGUGAGUAAUGCAUCGGAACGUGCCCGGUCGUGGGGGAUAACGCAGCGAAAGCUGCGCUAAUACCGCAUACGAUCUGAGGAUGAAAGCGGGGGACCGUAAGGCCUCGCGCGAUCGGAGCGGCCGAUGUCAGAUUAGGUAGUUGGUGGGGUAAAGGCUCACCAAGCCGACGAUCUGUAGCUGGUCGGAGAGGACGACCAGCCAAACGGGGACUGAGACACGGCCAAGACUCCUACGGGAGGCAGCAGUGGGGAAUUUUGGACAAUGGGCGCAAGCCUGAUCCAGCAAUGCCGCGUGCAGGAAGAAGGCCUUCGGGUUGUAAACUGCUUUUGUACGGAGCGAAAAGGCUCUCUCUAAUACAGGGGGCUCAUGACGGUACCGUAAGAAUAAGCACCGGCUAACUACGUGCCAGCAGCCGCCGUAAAAC
rnacentral:rRNA from 1 species